rnacentral:misc_RNA from 1 species
GAAAUGCGAUAAGUAAUGUGAAUUGCAGAUACCGUGAAUCAUCAAAUCUUUGAACGCACAUUGCACUGCCUGGAACUCCGGGCAGUAUACCUGUUUGAGCAUCAGUAGAUCUCUCCGCCUUAUAUUAAACGGUUGGAGGAGCUGAGUGAACACGCAUCUCAGAGGCGUGUCGCUUUAAAUGCACCCAGCGCAAGAGCGACAGUGUUAACUAAUCUGCCCGCCUUGCCCCCACCAAAUCAGAUCUCAAAUCAGGUAUGACCACCCGCUGAACUUAA